GACCGCGACCCCAGGUCAGGCGGGACUACCCG
rnacentral:rRNA from 2 species